ACGUAGGGUGCGAGCGUUAAUCGGAAUUACUGGGCGUAAAGCGCACGCAGGCGGUCGACCGCGUCGGAGGUGACAGUCCUCGGCUUACCUGAGGAAGUGCUGCCGAAACGGGUCGACUUGAGGGCCAGAGAGGGAGACGGAACUCCGGGUGGAGCGGUGAAAUGCGUAGAGAUCCGGAAGAACACCAAAGGCGUAGGCAGUCUCCUGGCUGGUUCCUGACGCUCAGGUGCGAAAGCGAGGGGAGCAAACAGGA
rnacentral:rRNA from 1 species